AGUGUAUGUCAGUUCAACCAGAGUGGUCGCCAAUUGAUAGAUCUGUCAGAAUCCUUGAUUAUAUUCUAUUCAAGCAUAUUUUCAUGGUGAAAGUUUUCUUCGUAAAUUUGUUAGUUGUGUUUCUUUUAAUGUUCUAAACGACUGUCGUUUGUCAUUUGUUUUCAAAUCAAUAAUUAUGUUUGUGAAGCAGACGAUAUGUUUUCAUUUCUAAGAAACUUGGUGUAGACGUCUGUGUUUUCCUAAUUUGGAAAUGGAAAGGUAUUGCUCAAACUUGGUGAUCAGCUCUAAACAAGUUUUCACAUUUAAGACUGUUUGACUGAAAAGAUGUUAUUCACUGGAGGAGCUGGGUAUAUCGGAAGCCCCUUUGUGGUUCUUGGAAUCCGGCUAUGUGGUUAUUUCUUGCAAGAAGUUUGCCCACUCUAAUAAUGGAAAAAAGGCUCAGUGACUGCCACUGCUCAGUUUCAUCAAUGUGUUCUAUAUAAUAUAGUUAUAUUUAUUAUUUAAUAUCUAGGCGAAGAAGUUAAAUUUCAUAAACAGCUAAGAAACACCCAAUUGAUAAUUCUUCGAGCAAAGAUUCAUCAAGUAGUUCAUUCAGGGCUGAGAAAGAGAAGGCAAAGUUGCAGCAGAUGCUGUUAAUUAUCACAAUUAAAAUAUUGAUGACAGUUCAACACAGUUCAUUUCAGAAAUGACUUAAGUCGAAUUCAAGAACUUAAUAAAGGAACUUAUGACAUGGCAUUUAUUAAAAACCAUGCAAAGAAUAAUGUUGCGUCCCUCACAUAUUUUCCAGGCUAAGAAAGAGAAGUCAAAGUUCCAGCAGGAGCUGUUUCAUGCUCAUCAUUAAGUUGAGUCAGCCAACAAAGAUAAGGCAAGAUGAAACGUACACCAAGCCGCCACUCGCUAAAUAAUUUUGAUCCAAAGUUUCAAUUUAAAUUUCCGCUUCGAUUUGACCAUUUCAACCAUUUUGAACUUUCCGCUCAAUCGCACGUCUCGCUAUAGCUGACGUGUUGCAGUGGAGAAAUUGGCAGCAACUGAUGCCGUUCCACAACUCGUCCCUUUUCGGCUUUUCCACAUUGGAUAUUAAACAAAAGAAUGUGAACUGCUGCUGUUUCCAGCUAUUGUAAACCAUCCGCAGUUAUCCGGGGCAGGCGGAAGGAAUUUCGUGAGAAAGUGCUGGAAUGGAGUCGUAUAACUAAAAAGGCAAACGUCUAGCGAUCAGUUCGAUGGAUGUGAACGAUGUGAGAAUGCGACGUCCAACUCUGCACCUGUUUACAUUACACAAAAAAGCAAGUGAAGAGCAGAUGAACAGGUCUGAUUUGAGCGUCGAUUUUUGUAAUGAUGCGGUCAACAUGUUCGGUUACGGCUGUCAGUGGUGCACAUCAACCGGAUGGUCUCAGGAUUCCAUAUGCCGUGCAGACUCAAUUUUAUAUUCGCUCCAUCUGUCGUUUCUCGACUGGUCGAAAUUGACGACACAAUUAGAUAUGAUUUUGUUUUACUUUCCCUUUUCUUAAAGAACUUGUUCCUAAAGCGACAGCAGACGACAAGAUUCGCUAACCACACGCAGAUUUUUAUGAUUAUUCUUUCCUUAAUUAAAUUUUGCAUUCUUUUGUGCCUCUGUUUGACAUUUUCCAUUCUAUUGUUAUUCAUAACAGGCAACUUCCGUCUGAUUCUGUUGCUAGGAGACCACGUCGAGAUAUAUGGGCGAGUCUCUUUAUUGAUAAGCGACAGCUAUGGACGAUGAUGAGGAUCAGCUCGACGAGCGAUAGGCGUUCCUACACUGGUAAAAAAGUAUGUAUACCGGCUUUGUAAUUAUAACUAUCACCUGCUAUGUAUUAGUUGUGCGCCACCAACUCGACUUCUUCGAAAUUUUGAACUUAUUUAACGAAUUUCACUGAUAGUAAAAUUGUUUGCUGAUUUCGUUUUACUAUCAUGUCACUCUCGAGAUGUUAUUGUAAAUGAAUGGAAAAUAAAGUAUCUGUCAUUAAAAAUGC
rnacentral:lncRNA from 1 species